rnacentral:rRNA from 1 species
AGUUGGGGCUGCCGGCGAAUCGUGUCGGGCACAGCACGUGGUGGGCGACACUCAGUUGUUCUCGGUGCCGCGCCUCGGCACGUAGCUGGGCAUCGGCCCUAAGGACCCAUGGAGCACCGCAGCGCAUAGCCGCUCGGACCGUGAACCCAGGUCAGUCGGGACUACCCGCUGAGUUUAAGCAUAUAAAUAAGCGGAGGAGAAGAAACUUACAAGGAUUCCCCUAGUAACGACGAGCGAACCGGGACCAGCCCAGCUUGAGAAUCGGGUGGCUUCGUCAACCGAAUUGUAGUCUAGAGAGGCGUCCUCAGCGAUGGACCGAGCCCAAGUUCCCUAGAAAGGGACGCCUAGGAGGGUGAGAGCCCUGUCUAGCCCGGAAAAAAAAAAAAACAAAACCCUGCGACCACGAGGCGCCGUCAACGAGUUGGGUUGUUUGGGAAUGCAGCCCAAAUCGGGCGGUAAACUCCGUCCAAGGCUAAAUACAGGCGAGAGACUAAUAGCGAAUAGGUACCGCGAGGGAAAGAUGAAAAGGACUUUGAAUAGAGAGUCAAAGGGUGCUUGAAAUUGCCAGGAGGAAAGCGGAUGGGGGCUGGCAAUGCGCCCUGGUCAUAUGCGGAACGGCUUCUGCUGGUCCGUUGAUCGCCGCGCCUGUGGCCUAAGCCCGGGGGCCCUAGGCGCCUCCGGCAGCCGUCGUCGGCACGGCCAGUCUUUGCACGCCACAAGGCGCGCCCCUCGGGGCGCUGCGCUGCAACAGCCUAUGAGCUCCCCAUCUGACCCGUCUUAAAACACGGACCAAGGAGUCUGACAUGCGUGCGAGUCGACGGGUUCUGAAACCUGGGAUGCACAAGGAAGCUGAUGAGCAGGAGGCACUCACGGGCCGCACCGCUGGCCGACCCUGAUCUUCUGUGAAGGGUUCGAGUUGGAGCACGCCUGUUGGGACCCAAAAGAUGGUGAACUAUGCCUGAGCAGGGCGAAGCCAGAGGAAACUCUGGUGGAGGCUCGAAGCGAUACUGAUGUGCAAAUCGUUCGUCUGACUUGGGUAUAGUGGUGAAAGACUAAUCGAACCAUCUAGUAGCUGGUUCCCUCCGAAGUUUCCCUCAGGAUAGCUGGAGCCCAUUACGAGUUCUAUCGGGUAAAGCCAAUGAUUAGAGGCAUCGGGGGCACAACGCCCUCGACCUAUUCUCAAACUUUAAAUAGGUAGGACGGCACGGCUGCUCUGGUGAUCCGUGCCACGGAAUCAGGAGCUCCAAGUGGACCAUUUUUGGUAAGCAGAACUGGCGAUGCAGGAUAAACCAGAAGCCAGGUUACGGUGCCAAACUGCGCGCUAACCUAGAACCCACAAAGGGUGUUGGUCGAUUAAGACAGCGGGACGGUGGUCAUGGAAGUCGAAAUCCGCUAAGGAGUGUGUAACAACUCACCUGCCGAAUCAACUAGCCUCGAAAAUGGAUGGUGCUGAAGCGCGCGACCCACACCCGGCCAUCUGGGCGAGCGCCAUGCCCUGAUGAGUAGGAGGGCGCGGCGACCACCGCAAAACCCGGGGCGCGAGCCCGGGCGCGAGCGGCCGUCGGUGCAGAUCUUGGUGGUAGUAGCAAAUAUUCAAAUGAGAACUUUGAUGGCCGAAGAGGAGAAAGGUUCCAUGUGAACGACACUUGCACAUGGGUAAGCUGAUCCUAAGGGAUGGGGUAACCCCGGCAGACAGCGCGAUCUCGCGCGUCCCCUGAAAUGGAAUCGGGUUAAGAUUUCCUGAGCUGGGACAUGGCGGUUGACGGCGACGUUAGGAAGUCCAGAGAUGCUGGCGGGGGCCUCAGGAAGAGUUAUCUUUUCUGCUUAAUGGUCUGCCAACCCUGGAAUCGGUUUUACCAGAGGUAGGGACCAACGGUCGGAAGAGCACCGCACGUCGCGCGGUGUCUGGUGCGCCCCCAGCGGCCCUUGAAAAUCCGGAGGACUGAGUACCGUCCAUGCCCGGUCGUACUCAUAACCGCAUCAGGUCUCCGAGGUGAACAACCUCUGGCCAAUGGAAUAAUGUAGGCAAGGGAAGUCGGCAAAACGGAUCCAUAACUUCAGGAAAAGGAUUGGCUUUGAGGGUUGGGCUCGGGGGUCCCGGCCCCAAACCCGUCGGCUGUCGGCGGACUGCUCGAACUGCUCCCGCGGCGAGAGCGGGCUGCCGCGUGUCGGCCGGGGGACUGACCGGGAACGGUCUCUUCGGAGGGCCUUCCCCGAGCGUCGAAUGACCAACUCAGAACUGGUGCGAACAAGGGGAAUCCGACUGUUUAAUUAAAACAAAGAAUUGCGAUGGUCCCCACGGAUGCUGACGCAAUGUGAUUUCUACCCAGUGCUCUGAAUGUCAAAGUGAAGAAAUUCAACCAAGCGUGGGUAAACGGUGGGAGUAACUAUGACUCUCUUAAGGUAGCCAAAUGCCCCAUCAUCUAAUUAGUGACCCGCAUGAAUGGAUUAACGAGAUUCCCACUGUCCCUGUCUACUAUCCAGCGAAACCACAGCCAAGGGAACGGGACGAAGACUGCCGUCGUGUGUUGACAAGAUGUGCUCUAGAAGUUUUAAUUGGUCUUCCAACAGGUCAUCAAGUGGUACCUGAACAUAUUCUCUAGAGUCAAACUACAACAGCUGAUACAGUGAAGGAAACUCUUAGAGCUGCUAUGAUAACUGCUGCUCUUGAGGAUAAAAAAUGGAAUCUAAAAGCUGUUGCAAAAGCUUGUGAAAAUGCUAAGUCGCAAGAUGACCACAUGCUUUAAGUCUGGCUUUUUAUAGCCACUAUGUUCGAGUUUGGAUUCUUCGCAAGCUCUUCAUUGUAUCUUCGUGUUAAAACCCUGGAAGCUGUGUCUGAUAUAAAGCUUCUAGGGUUUUAACACGAAGAUACAAUGAAGAGCUUGCGAAGAAUCUAAACUCGAACAUAGCGGCUAUAAAAAGCCUGGCUUGCAGCAUGUGGUCAUCUUGCGACUUAGCAUUUUCACAAGCUUUUGCAACAGCUUUUAGAUUCCAUUUUUUAUCCUCCCCAGCAGCAGUUAUCAUAGCAGCUCUAAGAGUUUCCUUCACUGUAUCAGCUGUUGUAGUUUGACUCUGGAG